AAGGACUUUGAAAAGAGAGUCA
rnacentral:snRNA from 1 species